CCGAUUCGACCCCUAGCCGGGGAACCUCCAUAUGCCGCAGGAGCGGCCUAAGAAAUAGCAACAACAACAACAACAACAAAAAGAAAAAGACAAAAGACGAAAGACAAAAAAAAAAAAAGCUGUCCAAUAGAUAGUCAGGCUUAAGUGUAUCAAAUAUAGUAUAGGACAGUUUAUCUGCCUCUAACCAAACUAUUCCUCUUAAGAAUUUCUUUUGUAUUUCCAAUAUCCUUCCUGGGAGAGACAAAAAGGCAAACUUCCUCCUAUCACACAGGUUAAGUGUCUUUUCCUCCCCCAACAAUUUUUAUCAUGGAAAAUUACAAAAAUAUACAAAAGUACAGAGACAAUAUACAGAGUCCCAUUUAUCCAUCACCCAGCUGCAAUCUCUAUCAGUUCAUUGCCUAAUCUUAGAUUAUUCCCUUUGAUUAUUUUGAAGCAAAUUCCAGAAAUUAAAUCAUUUUAUUUGUAAAUAUUUCUAAAGGGUAGUUUCUGCCCUCAUUACCAAAAUACAGUUAUCACACAUAAAAAUGUUAAUAGUAAUUUCUUAAUAUUGAGAAUGUCAAAUAUUUUAUGCUUUUAAGAAAUUAUUAAUAUAUAUUUUAAAGAUUUUAUUAAUUUGGUUCAGAUAAGAUCCAUCAUAUGAUAUAUUAUGAUUGAUUAAUAGGUCUCUUAAUUCUCCAUUGAUCAAUAAUGGCAUCACCCAGUAGGGUAGCCACUAACCACAAAUAGCUAUUUAAAUUUAAAUUAAUUACAAUUAAAAUGAAAUAUUCCAAUCUUUAGUAUAUCAAGUGCUCAGGAGCCACAUGAAGUUAGAGGCUGCCAUAUUAGAUAUACAGAGCAUUUCACUCGUUGAAGAAUGUUUUAUUGGUCAGAGCUGAUCUAUAGGUUCCCUCCAACUCUUUUUUCCUUGUGUUUUCCAUUUUCUUUUAAAAAUGUUCAUUAUUAUUAUUUGGUGGAACAAAGUCCUUGUUUGGAUUUUUUUUUUUUCUUUUUGGUCUCCCAGAGUCUCAAUUUUACUGAUUGUACUCCUGUGGUGUACCUUAACAUGGUGUCUCUUCUAUUUCCUGUAAAUUUGUAGUUAAGCCUAGAGACUUGACCUAAUUCAAAUUAAAUGUUAUAUAUACAUACUUUCCCCAAGAACACUUUAUAGGUGCUAGUGUGUACUUCUAUUAGGAGGGAUAUGCAAUAUCAGAGUUUUCUCUUUCUAAUAUUACUAGCUAUUGACGCAUUGUCUAGCCGUAGAUCCAUGAAUUUGCUAAGGUUUACAGAACAGUGAUAUUUUAAUGCUCUGUGUUUAUCAGCCAGAAUUCUAUAAAGAGGAACUUCCCUUUGUUAACUUUUUGGUUGCCCUUAAUUACAGAUUGUAUAAGAAAGGUAGGAUGAUUGCCUAAUUCUUUUAUUUUACAGUUUUCAAAGUAAUAAUUUGUGUUUUAAACUUUCCAAAGAUGACCAGUGUACUAUUUUUAGGUAAUUUAAUAAAUUAAUAUGUUUAAACUUGUUUAGUAUGUUUUGGUCCAGUGCAGUUUUUAUCCUUAGUAAUGAUCAGAUAAUCAACUUUGAUUCAAUAGGAGCAUCUUCAGGUAUUUCCUCAUUCCUUUUGAUAUGACCCUCCUAGUCUUUGAUAGCUUCUUUUUUCUGUCUGAUAUGAUAGAGCUUUCCAGACUCAUCUAACAUAUCUCUAACCUAGUACUUAGAAUCAGCUGUUUUUCCAAAGAAUCUUAAUUCUUUUAAUAAUAAAGAGUCUUAAUUCCUUUAGAAGCCACCUAUCAGCACUUCUUUCAAAGUAGCAUUGCUACUGAGUUAUUUCUUGUUUUAGACUUUCUUUUUCAAUGGGAAGUAAUAGGUACAUACACACCCACAUAUGCAUGCAUAUAUGCACACUUAAAUUUUAAGAUAAACCACCUCGUUCUUUAAAGCUUAAUUUCGUAGUAUACUUUGGACUUGAAAGUGUCCACUCUAGCUGAAAAGGUGAACCGUGUUGAUUUUUAGGAUUGAAUAACACUCUUAGGCAUGGUGACCACAAGUGCAGCUUUUUGGAAAUAUAGGGAUUCUACCUUUAUUGAUUAAAUUUUCAUUUCCUUUAUUGAAGGUUGAGAGGUGAAACAUAGUUUAUCGAUUCUGAGUCUGAGAGCCAAUUUUUAGUUCCUGAUGAGAAAUUGAUCAGCUAUGUUCUUGUUACAAAAGGUAACAGUGAGAUUGGCAAAGGAAAUUGAAUUUAUAUUGGUGUGUUAUCCCAUGCAAUUAAUUUUGCAUUUACACUUGAGGCACAUGAAUCUUAUUCGAGGUUGAAAUAUCUAUACUUUGAAUCAGGACAUUGCAAAUCUAGUGUGAUUAAAUAUAUUAAGAGUUUCUGUUGUUCUACAAUUGCUGUGCAAUUCUAAAAUAUGUUCUUAUUAGGCUAUUCACAAAGAAAUCUUUUGGUCAUUAUAAUGAGAAAAUUGAAAUAGCUAAAUUUGUACAUUCUUUUUACAAAGGAUGGAACAGAAUAAGGUAAUUUAUAUUGUAAGAUUUAUUAUUUUUACACUCAUUUUUUCUGUAUGAGAUCUCUGUCAUCUGAGUUAUGGAAAUAACAUAGUAUAUUAGAUAGACAUUCUCAGGAGCAGUUUAGCUAAAGUAUCCACAAAAGAAUCUUCAUAAAUGAAGUAGUAAGAGAAUGAUUAAUGGAGAAAAUAAGAUCUGAAUUGGGUCUUGAAAUAGUUUUAAUAGGAACAUAGUGUCAUUUUAUUGCAGUUUUAAUUUGCACUAAUAUUGACCACUUUCCUUUUGCUCAUUUGCCAUUUGUAUGUCUUCUUUGGUGAAAUGUCUGUUCAAAUCUUUUGCACAUUUUUUAAAUUAAGGUUGUUAUUCUUGAGUUUUGAGAAUUCUUUUUAUAAUCUGGGUACCAGAUCUUUAUUCAGAUGUAACCUUUGCAGAGAUUUUCUCCCUUGUCUUUUCAUGCUCUUAAAAAUGGCUUCUCCAGGGUGGAAGUUUUAAACUUUUGAUGUAAUCUACUAUAUCAACUUACUCUUUUAUGGAUCAUGUUUUUGGUGAAAUCUAAGAAUUCUCUGUUUAAUUCAAGUUGCUAUGGACUGAAUGUUUGUAUUCCUCCCAAUUGAUAUGUUUAACCCUAGUUCUUAAUGUGCUGGCAUUUGAAGAUGAGGCCUUUGGGAAGUAAUAGGUCAUGAAAAUAGAGCCCUUAUGAAUGAGAGAUUAUUGCCUUUAUAAGAGACAUGAGAGAGCUUGUAUCCUUUUGCUACUCCCUGCUGUGUGAAGAUGCAACAAGAAGGCAGCCUACUGCAAGCCAGAAAAGGUCUCACCAGAACCUGACCUUGUGUCCAUGUUGGCACCGAGAUCUCAGACUUCCCAACUUCUAGAACUGUGAGAAAUAAAUUUCUGCUGUUUAAGCCAUCCAGUAUCAUGUAUGUAACAAAAUUUAUAUUUUGCAUACAGAUGUCAGCUAGGGCCAGCCUCAUUUCUUGUUUAAUGAACUUUGGUAGUUGAUGUCUUUUAAGGAAGUAGUACAUUUAAUCUAAAUUGUUGAAUUUAUUGACAUAAAGUUGCUCAAAUGCCUUUGUAUUGCUUUGGCAUCAGGGUAAUGUUGGUAUCAUAGAAUGAGUUGGGAAAAAUUCUUUCCUCUUUAAUUUUCUGGAAGAGUUUGAGUUGGGAUCAUUCUUUUUAAAUAUUCAGUAGAAUUCAGCAGUGAAGACAUUUGGGCUUGAAGUUUUGUCUGUGGAAAGGUUUAAAUAAGGGUAUGUAGAUUAUUCAUUUCUUCUUGAGUGAUUCUGUUGAAGGAACCAUUGAGCGAGGGCCAGCACUAAAGUUGAUCUACCUUAUCCCAUACUUUCCAAACUGAUUUUUUGACAGUGAAUAUAGGAUUUGAGAUUUUUCCUAGUUAGCCUGCAUCUUGAUAUGUUUAGGCCACCAUCUAGUCUUUUGGAUUCAGUUUGGUACUUCAGAAUAUUCUCUCCAAUUCACGAAGUAGUAGAACAUACUGUUAUCAACAUUCUCAAUAGACACUGAUUAAAUAAAAUGCUGAUUAGAAGGGCUGAUCAACAGAAAAGGAUCACACUGGAAAUAAAGCUUCCAUUUUAAAAAACUUGAAAAAGAAAAGCAAAUUUAACUCAAAGUAAGCAAAAAAAGGAAAUUAUUAGGUCAAAGAGGAAAUCAAUGAAAUAGUAAACAAAACCAAAAAAAAAAAAAA
ensembl:lncRNA